CUGCAUUUUCAUUUGACACUAGGCUCUGCAUAUUAUCAUAGCUGGUUCUGGCUACAACUUAUAGUUUACAGUUAAUUUACAAUUAGUUUACAGUUUAAUUUCUUGGCAUAGGACUCUCUCCCUUUUUAAGUUAGAAACCCACAUGUACCUUUUUCCUCUGCAGCCAUUCUGUUUGAGGGUGGGAUAAAACUGCUUCACCUGCCAGAAUGCAGGGUGUGUCCGCAACUGUGCCCAGGACACACAGCGCCUGGCCUUGGCUUUCAAGGGUAGGGGCUCCCAACCCUCAGCCCCAGCUCUCUGUAGUGGCCCAAGCGUCUGUCCUGGGGAUUCCCACAUCAGGGCAAAUGUUUGUUUAGAGUCCAUGUUUGAGGACUUUUCAAAAGAAAAUUGGAAGGUGACAGUCAAACCAUGCAAGAGUCCCAUUCUGUGAAAGAGACCAGUACCUCACCCUCCUGGCCAUGCCUGUCAUCUUGAGUGUUACUGAAGGCCUUAACCAGCUGACUUCAGGUGUCUCUCCAGUGCAGUAAAGAGGGAACUACUCAGAAAGGCUCUUUUCUAAUCAAUGCACGUGAUGAUUCAACUUCAAAGCCAAUUCUGACUCUCCGUGUGUGCUGUCAUGGAGCAGGGCGCUGAGGGCACAGCAGUGAGCAAACACCAUGAAGACGAGUUAAUUUCCAUUUUAUGACAGUGUCCCGUGGGUCUACUCAAAGGCCGGUGGAAAGGGGACACUACUCACCUCACAGAGCUGGCCUGAGACUGUAAGAAGAUGUGAAACUUCGCGGACAGCGGGGCGCCCCUCUCUGGACCAGCCACGGAAGGGAACGCCAGCUGAAGAGAAAUGCCAACAAAGAAUUAAGAUCGUGCCCACUCCGAUGGUGGUCAAGUCAGGCCGUCUAGAGUUUCCUGUCCCGCUCUCCCUCUUCCUCCUCUUCCGCCCGCCUGCUCUCAGCGAAGGGCAGAGGAACCGCCAACCCUGCCCCCUCUCCUGGCUCCCGCGCAAUCCCCGCGUCUGCGCUGAAACCCGACUCUGAAACGAAGCGGGCGCGGCGAGAAGAGGCGGGACCAGGCAGAAGUGGGCGGGACCGGGGAGGCCGGAGGGAGGCGUGGUCGGACCUCGAUGGGCGGGACAGGAUGGGCGGAGUCUAGGCCUAAUCCGAGCGGCCCAGGCGCGGUGGAAUUUAGAAAG
rnacentral:lncRNA from 1 species